rnacentral:tRNA from 2 species
GGAGAGAUGUCCGAGUGGCCGAAGGUGGCGGUCUCGAAAACCGCUGUACGGGCAUAACCCGUACCGAGGGUUCAAAUCCCUCUCUCUCCGCCA